UGAGGAACAUGACCUUCGGCGGGGGAUAGCCGGCCCAACGGCCGGGUAAUACCGCGUACGACCACUUUGGGACAUCCCUCGGUGGUGAAAGCAGCAAUGCGCCGAUGGAGUGCCUCGCGGCCUAUCAGCUAGUUGGUGAGGUAACGCUCACCAAGGCAACGGACGGGUAGCUGGUCUGAGAGGAUGGCCAGCCAACAGUUGGGACUGAGACACGGCCCAGACCUCCGUAACGGGGAGCCAG
rnacentral:rRNA from 1 species